GACGAACGCUGGCGGCGUGCUUAACACAUGCAAGUCGAACGGAAAGGCCCUGCUUUUGUGGGGUGCUCGAGUGGCGAACGGGUGAGUAACACGUGAGUAACCUGCCCUUGACUUUGGGAUAACUUCAGGAAACUGGGGCUAAUACCGGAUAGGAGCUCCUGCUGCAUGGUGGGGGUUGGAAAGUUUCGGCGGUUGGGGAUGGACUCGCGGCUUAUCAGCUUGUUGGUGGGGUAGUGGCUUACCAAGGCUUUGACGGGUAGCCGGCCUGAGAGGGUGACCGGCCACAUUGGGACUGAGAUGCGGCCCAGACUCCUACGGGAGGCAGCAGUGGGGAAUAUUGCACAAUGGGCGGAAGCCUGAUGCAGCAACGCCGCGUGCGGGAUGACGGCCUUCGGGUUAUAAACCGCUUUCGCCUGUGACGAAGCGUGAGUGACGGUAAUGGGUAAAGAAGCACCGGCUAACUACGUG
rnacentral:rRNA from 1 species